AUUGAACGCUGGCGGCAGGCCUAAAACAUGCAAGUCGAACGAGUGGCGGACGGGUGAGUAAUGUCUGGGAAACUGCCCGAUGGAGGGGGAUAACUACUGGAAACGGUAGCUAAUACCGCAUACCAUCGGAUGUGCCCAGAUGGGAUUAGCUAGUAGGUGGGGUAACGGCUCACCUAGGCGACGAUCCCUAGCUGGGCUGAGAGGAGGACCAGCCAGACUGGAACUGAGACACGGUCCAGACUCCUACGGUAGGCAGCAGGGGGUAAUAUUGCACAAUGGGCGCAAGCCUGAUGCAGCCAUGCCGCGUGUAUGAAGAGGGCCUUCGGGUUGUAAAGUACUUUCAGCGAGGGGGCGUUACUCUCAGAAGAUGCAUCGGCUAGCUCCGUGCCAGCAGCCGCGGUAAUAC
rnacentral:rRNA from 1 species